GGACUGCAGGCUGCAACUCGCCUGCACGAAGUUGGAAUUGCUAGUAAUCGUGGAUCAGCAUGCCACGGUGAAUACGUUCCCGGGUCUUGUACACACCGCCCGUCACACCAUGGGAGCCGGUAAUACCCGAAGUCAGUAGUCUAACCGCAAGGAGGACGCUGCCGAAGGUAGGAUUGGCGACUGGGGUGAAGUCGUAACAAGGUAGC
rnacentral:rRNA from 1 species